rnacentral:rRNA from 1 species
CCCUACUGCUAUCGGGGUGGGACUAAGACAUGCUAGUCGAGCGCCUUGAGCUAUGGCGAGGCGCGGCGUACAGCUCAGUAACACGUGGCUAACCUACCCUUAGGACGGAGACAACCCCGGGAAACUGGGGCUAAUAUCUGAUAGGUGAGGAGGCCUGGAAUGGUUCUUCGCUGAAAAGGCGUUGAAACCAUGCUUUUCAGCGUCGCCUAAGGAUGGGGCCGCGUCCGAUCAGGUUGUUGGUGGGGUAACGGCUCACCAAGCCUAUAACCGGUACGGGCCGUGAGAGCGGGAGCCCGGAGAUGGGCACUGAGACAAGGGCCCAGGCCCUACGGGGCGCAGCAGUCGCGAAAACUCCGCAAUGCGCGAAAGCGUGACGGGGCUACCCCGAGUGCCGUCCGCUGAGGAUGGCUUUUCCCCGGUGUAAUGAGCCGGGGGAAUAAGGAGAGGGCAAGUCUGGUGUCAGCCGCCGCGGUAAUACCAGCUCUCCGAGUGGUAGGGACGAUUAUUGGGCUUAAAGCGUCCGUAGCCGGCUUAGCAAGUCUCCUGUUAAAUUCAGCGACCUAAUCGUUGAGCCGCGGGAGAUACUACUAGGCUAGGAGGCGGGAGAGGCCGACGGUAUUCUCGGGGUAGGGGUGAAAUCCUAUAAUCCCGGGAGGACCACCAGUGGCGAAGGCUGUCGGCUAGAACGCGCUCGACGGUGAGGGACGAAAGCUGGGGGAGCGAACCGGAUUAGAUACCCGGGUAGUCCCAGCUGUAAACGAUGCGGGCUAGGUGUUGGGGUGGCUACGAGCCACUUCAGUGCCGCAGGGAAGCCAUUAAGCCCGCCGCCUGGGGAGUACGGCCGCAAGGCUGAAACUUAAAGGAAUUGGCGGGGGAGCACCACAAGGCGUGAAGCUUGCGGUUC